AGACAAUAAAACACACAGGUUCAUAGCUCAGGUGUUUUACUCCAUACAAAACAGGCAGCGUCACCUAACGACUCAAUUCAGCAGGUAAAUGUUUGUUUGUUUGUUUGUUUGUUUACGGGUAGCACCAGUUUGUGGAUUGUUUGGUUGUACGUACAUGUGUGUGUGUGUGUGUGUGUGUGUGUGUGUGUGUGUGUGUGUGUGUGUGUGUGUGUGUGUGUGUGUGUGUGUGUGUGUGUGUGUGUGUUGGGAGGAAGGAAGAAAAAGGAAGAAAGGAGGAGGAGGAGGAGGAGGAAGAAAGGGAGGAAGGAAGGUGUGUGUGUUUGUGUGUGUGUGUGUGUGUGUGUGUGUGUGUGUGUGUGUGUGUGUGUGUGUGUGUGUGUGUGUGUGUGUGUGUGUGUUGGGGAGAAGGAAGAAAAAGGAAGAAAGGAGGAGGAGGAGGAGGAAGAAAGGGAGGAAGGAUGGAAGGUGUGUGUGUUUGUGUGUGUGUGUGUGUGUGUGUGUGUGUGUGUGUGUGUGUACGUGUCUGUUUUAAAAGCUGCUUACAAUAUCUAUUUUUUUUUUUAGUAUUUUGCAUUUUUGUUAAGUUACAUGAAUACACACACACACACACACACACACACACACACACACACACACACACACACAGACAUUAUAAGUCAUUACAAGUUAAUUAAUACCCCAAAAAUCACAUCUAAAUUACCUUGAUGAUAUAGUUAAGAAAAAAAUAUCAACUUGUUUGCCAAUAAUAAUAAUAAUAAUAAUAAUAACAAUGAUUGAUAUAUAUAUAAUUACAUUCGUUAAGAAAAUCUAAUAUUCUAUACUACAUUGAUUUACACACACACACACACACACACACACACACACACACACACAUUUUCUUCCUCCUCUUUUAAUGAAUUUUCUUCUUUAAUUUCUUUUCUUCCUUGCCUUCUAACACACACACACACACACACACACACACACACACACACACACACACACACAUUUUCUUCCUCCACCUUUAAUGAAUUUUCUUCUUUAAUUUCUUUUCUUCCUUGCCUUCUAACACACACACACACACACACACACACACACACACACACACAUUUUCUUCCUCCUCUUUUAAUGAAUUUUCUUCUUUAAUUUCUUUUCUUCCUUGCCUUCUAACACACACACACACACACACACACACACACACACACACACACACACGACAGAUAGAUAGAUAUACAGACCAACGGACGGACAAUCAGUAUUAUAUAUUACAAUUAUUAUUACAAUUAUUAUUAUUAUUAUUAUUAUUAUUAUUAUUAUUACAGACUUAACCAUAGCAAGAGCAGUCAUCAUCAUCAUCAUCAUUAUUAUUAUUAUUACUAUUAUUAUCAUCGCUAAUACAAAAUACAUCAUCGGUAAUAUAUUAACAAAAGCAACGUUCAUCUAUACAGUAAUUAUGAGUAUUUAUGUAAAAAAAAAAAAGCUUGCCGCAAUUCUCAAAGCCUUAGAAUGUAUGUGUGUGUGUGUGUGUGUGUGUGUGUGUUGAAUUUCGUAUAUACAUCAUCUAUCUAUCAGAGCGUGUGUGUAUGUAUGUGUGUGUGUGUGUGUGUGUGUGUGUGUGCUAGAAUAUAUGUGUACUAACUGCCUAUCUCUAUUGGUAUGUGUGUGUGUGUGUGUGUGUGUGUGUGUGUUUGGAACCAAGGAAGAAAAGGAAUUAUAGAAGGAAGAAAAAGGAAGAAAGGAGGAGGAGGAGGAGGAGGAAAGGAAAGGAAAGGAAAGGAAAGGAAAGGAAAGGAAAGUCUGUGUGUGUGUGUGUGUGUGUGUGUGUGUGUGUGCGUGUGUGUGCGUGUGUGUGCGUACAAUCAACAAACUCACUAUGUAUGACUUAUAUAAACCUUCGUGUCAAGUAUUUACAAGUGAUGGGAAUGAGAUGUUUUUAUGAAUUUUUUAGGUUUUAUUAAAUUUAAAUCAAAAAGAAUUCCUCAGUGUUAUGUUUUCUCUUUACUCGGAUAGUCAGCGAACAUUCCGAACGCAAGAUUAUUUUAUUAGGAGGUUGAAGUUGAGAGAUUUUUGUGCAUCGGUGAGAAAUUAAAUCGGGUUCCCAAAUACAAAAUCAAAUUAAAUCGGGUUCCCAAAAUUGUGUUCCCAAAAUCGGGUUCCCAAAACUGUGUUCCAAAAAUCGGGUUCCCGAAUACAAAAUCAUAUUAAAUCGGGUUCCCAAAUACAAAUCAAAUUAAAUCGGGUUCACAAAAUCAAAUUCAAAAUACAAAUCAAAUUAAAUCGGGUUCCCAAAAUCAAGUUCAAAAUACAAAAUCAAAUUAAAUCGGGUUCCCAAAAUCGGGUUCCCAAAUACAAACAAAAAUUAAAUCGGGUUCCCAAAUACAAAAUCAAGUUAAAUCGGUCUCCAAAAUCGGGUUCUCGGAAUACAACAGAAACGCAACAUCAAAUUUCCACACAGAAAACUAGAACGAAAAUCCGAUAUUAUUUUUAACACACAAAAAUUAGGUUCAACAACAUUGCUUUUCUUUACUUGAAUAUCCAGCGGACUUUCCGAUCACAAGGUUAUUUUAUUAGGAAGUUCAACGAUGAAGUUUUUUUGUGCAUCGGCAAGUUUUCGAAGAAGUGCUCGGAAGAAAUUGAGAGAUAUGUGAGCGAGGCGGAAUUACUAUUAUUAUUAUUAUUAUUAUUAUUAUUAUUAUUAUUAUUGUUAUUAUUAUUAGUGUUAUUUCAGCUCAUUAUGUACUGUGUUUCUAAGGUAUGUACAGCUUCUCUCUCUCUCUCUCUCUCUCUCUUACGAUUUUCUUUCUCUUCUUCUCUGCCUUUCCUUUCCUUCCUUUCUUCAUCUCUCUCUCUCUCUCUCUCUCUCUCUCUCUCUCUCUCUUUCCUUCCCUACCUUUCUUUCCCUUCCCGUUCUCUCUCUCUCUCUCUCUCUCUCUCUCUCUCUCUCUCUCUCUCUCUCUCUCUCUCUCUCUCUCUCUCGCUCGCUCACAGCCACAAACAAACAAACAAACAAACAAACAAACAAUCAAUUAUCUUACAAAUUAAUAAAGGAACUGUAUUAAGCUAAAAAAAAAAUAUCAUUAUUAUUAUUAUUAUUAUUAUUUCUAAGUCUAUCUAUUAAUUAAGGACUAUCUAUUAGGCACCUUUUGAAACUCUUAUAAUACCCUAUGUUUAGAAAGUAUACAAAAUGCUUUAGUAAUAUCUGUUUUUUUUAAUUCAAUAACAAAUGCUUUUUUUUCCACUUUCUCACUUUUCUUAUAAAAUGUGAAGCUAAUAUUUUUUUUUAUGAACUAAGUGGUAAUAUUUUUGCUUUGAAUUUCUUAAUAUUAUUUAAUGUGUUAAUAUCUGGGUUUUUUUAUUCAAUAACAAAUGCAUUUUAAUUUUCCUGUUUUUUUUCCCUUUUCUUAUAAAAUGUGAAGCUAAUAUUUUUUUAUGAACUAAGUGGUAAUAUUUUUGCUUUGAAUUUCUUAAUAUUAUGUAAUGUGUUAAUAUCUGUUUUUUUUAAUUCAAUAACAAAUGCAUUUUAAUUUUCCUGUUUUUUUUCCCUUUUCUUAUAAAAUGUGAAGCUAAUAUUUUUUUUAUGAACUCUGUGGUAAUAUUUUUGCUUUGAAUUUCUUAAUAUUAUAUAAUGUGUUAAUAUCUGGUUUUUUUUUAUUCAAUAACAAAUGCAUUUUAAUUUUCCCGCUUUUUUCCCUUUUCUUAUAAAAUGUGAGGCUAAUAUUUUUUUUAUGAACUAUGUGGUAAUAUUUUUGCUUUGAAUUUCUCAAUAUUAUAUGCUGUGUUAAUAUCAGUUUUUUUUAAAUUCAAUAACAAAUGCAUUUUAAUUUUCCUGUUUUUUUCCCUUUUCUUAUAAAAUGUGAAGCUAAUAUAUUUUUUUAUGAACUAUGUGGUAAUAUUUUUGCUUUCUUAAUAUUAUAACACACACACACAAAUAAGUUUUUUUUUAACAACAAAUGCAUUUUUUUGUAAUUUCCUUAACAAAAUGCAAAGGUAUCUUACUGAACUAACUGUGAGGCUUCAUUUCACAACACAAACACUCACAAAAAAAUACAAUAUUAGAAUCAUUAUUAUUUCAUUCAAUAACAAAUGCAUGUUUUUUAUGUCUAUAUAUAUUUUCCCAUUCCUUACAAAAGCAAAACUAUUUAUAAUGUUAAGCCAAACCAAAGCAACAUUAUAUCAUUAGUCAUUUUCACCCAGUAACAAAAGCAGAUAUUUUUUUUAUAUAUUUUCUCCUUUCCUUACAAAACACAAAGCACUUCACCUUCUUGAAAUGCGAUGGACUAGGACGAUUUUUUUCUCUCUUAUAGUCUUCCAAAUAUGUCGAGGGUGGUCUGGCGUACACUCCCGCGGUUCAAAUUUCAGUGACCUCUCGUAUUUUCCGCCAAACAAUAUCUUUUGACGUUUUUCUCUUUCACAAGCUUCAAUGAUUUUACUGUUAUAGGCGAGAAUGACUAAAAUUCCUACAUGGCAGACUCAGAAGGUUCUCGUAUUUUCCGCCAAACAAUAUCUUUUGACGUUUUUCUCUUUCACAAGCUGCAAUGAUUUUACUGUUAUAGGCGAGAAUGACUAAAAUUCCUACAUGGCAGACUCAGAAGGUUCAAAUAUCAGUGACCUCUCGUAUUUUCCGCCAAACGAUAUAUCCUUUGACGUUUUUCUCUUUCACAAGCUGUAAUGAUUUUACUGUUAUAGGCGAGAAUGACUAAAAUUCCUACAUGGCAGACUCAGAAGGUUCUAAUUUCAAUGCCCUCUCGUACUUUCCGCCAAACGAUAUAUCUUUUGACAUACUUCUCUUUCACAAGCUUCAAAUAUCAGUGACCUCUCGUAUUUUCCGCCAAACAAUAUCUUUUCACGUUUUUCUCUUUCACAAGCUUCAAUGAUUUUACUGUUAUAGGCGAGAAUGACUAAAAUUCCUACAUGGCAGACUCAGAAGGUUCUCGUAUUUUCCGCCAAACAAUAUCUUUUGACGUUUUUCUCUUUCACAAGCUGCAAUGAUUUUACUGUUAUAGGCGAGAAUGACUAAAAUUCCUACAUGGCAGACUCAGAAGGUUCAAAUAUCAGUGACCUCUCGUAUUUUCCGCCAAACGAUAUAUCCUUUGACGUUUUUCUCUUUCACAAGCUGCAAUGAUUUUACUGUUAUAGGCGAGAAUGACUAAAAUUCCUACAUGGCAGACUCAGAAGGUUCUAAUUUCAAUGCCCUCUCGUACUUUCCGCCAAACGAUAUAUCUUUUGACGUACUUCUCUUUCACAAGGUUCAAAUUUCAGUGACCUCUCGUACUUUCCGCCAAACAAUAUAUCUUUUGACGUAUGUAUUUCUCUUUCACAAGCUGCAACGAUUUUACUGUUAUAGGCGAGAAUGACUAAAAUUCCUACAUGGCAGACUCAGAAGGUUCAAAUUUCAGUGACCAAUCGUAUUUUCCGCCAAACGAUAUAUCUUUUGACGUUUUUCUCUUUCACAAGCUUCAAUGAUUUUACUGUUAUAGGCGAGAAUGACUCAAAUUCCUACAUGGCAGACUCAGAAGGUUCUAAUUUCAAUGACCUCUCGUACUUUCCCCCAAACGAUAUAUCUUUUGACGUUUUUCUCUUUCACAAGCUGCAAUGAUUUUACUGUCAUAGGCGAGAAUGACUAAAAUUCCUACAUGGCAGACUCAGAAGGUUCUAAUUUCAAUGCCCUCUCGUACUUUCCCCCAAACACUAUAUUUUUUGACGUAUGUAUUUCUCUUUCACAAGCUUCAAAUUUCAGUGACCUCUCGUACUUUCCACCAACCAAUAUAUCUUUUGACGUAUUUCUCUUUCACAAGCUUCAAUGAUUUUACUGUUAUAAGCGAGAAUGACUAAAAAUUUCUAUGUGGCGGAUUCUCAGAAGGGUCCCGUAGGCUCUCCCCCUCUGCUCUGCCACACAGCCCAACACCUAUCUCUGCCUCUCAUAUGUAAGGUAUUGCUAACACAUGAGAGGAAAAUAUAGGUGUUUGGACUGUGUGGCGGAGGAGACGGGAAUAAAGGACCAUAAUAAAAACACAUUCAAUAUAACUCUUCAAAUGUGAAUAUUACCCUUCAAAUGUCUCCCCACAGCAAUCAGAAUUUAUAUAGAUAUUUAUAUAAUACAUUUUUACAUAAUAAGGACUUGCGGGAAGGAACGCCCGAACGGACUAGACAAUUUGCUUUCCCUUUAAUAAAAACACAUUCAAUAUAACUCUUCCAAUGUACCCCCACAGCAAUCAAGUAGAAUUUAUAUAGAUAUUUAUAUAUUUUUACAUAAUAAGGACUCGUGGGAAGGAACGCCCGAACGGACUAGACAAUUUGCUUUCCCCAUAAUACCAAACACAUUCAAUAUAACUCUUCAAAUGUCUCCCCACAGCAAUCAAGUAGAAUUUAUAUAGAUAUUUAUAUAAUACAUUUUUACAUAAUAAGAACUCGCGGGAAGGAACGCCCAGACUUGACAACUUGCUUUCCCCAUAAUACCAAACACAUUCAAUAUAACUCUUCAAAUGUCUCCCCACAGCAAUCAAGUAGAAUUUAUAUAAUACAUUUCUACAUAAUAAGGACUCGCGGGAAGGAACGCUCGACUAACUCAACAAUUUGCUUUCCCUAUAAUACCAAACACAUUCAAUAUAACUCUUCCAAUGUACCCCCACAGCAAUCAAGUAUUAUUUAUAUAGAUAUUUAUAUAAUACAUUUUUACACAAUAAGUGAAAAAAAAUGGAUUUCUAGAGAGCGAUAUCUUAAGACAAAAAAUGGUAUAUAUUAUGAACAAUUGCAUUUUAUCCUCCAAAAUGCAAUGUUGUGUGGACUAG